UGAUACAUAUCCAAACUUCUCCUCGCUAAAGUUGAAGUAGGCAACAUGAUUGAACCUACCAGUCCAAUAAAGUACCCCAUUGAGGAAGCUACAUUUCCUAGAAAAAUUACAUGAAUCAUGUCUUGAUGAAUCAAAAUCAACUUUUCUCCAAGAGGGGUUGGUUACUCCUAGAGUUAGAAUAUCGACCCUCUUUGCUCUUUCUAGUUCUCGAGGAUGAAUAUGAAGCAAUUUGUAGAAACAACUUGAACAACUUAUGAAAUGAUAAUAUUUUCUUUCGCAAACGUUUUAUCUCCCUAGUAGUGACAUUAUAUAAAUAACCUCGACUAUUUUUAUAGCUAUACAAGCAAACAAGGCCAUUGCAAUGACUUGAACAAAUAUGCAUCUCCCCAGCGUAGCAAAAAUAAUCAAGCUGUAAAGGAAGUACUUCGGAUUUAUUUGUUUUUGCAUGACUGUACCGUUGUCCACCAUAUGUUUUGAGUUGAAAUAGAAGUUGGGUGGCUGAGGGGCGGGCUUGAGAACGAGCAUAGUGUGACCGGACA
rnacentral:lncRNA from 1 species